AUUGAACGCUGGCGGCAUGCCUUACACAUGCAAGUCGAACGGCAGCACGGGAGCAAUCCUGGUGGCGAGUGGCGAACGGGUGAGUAAUAUAUCGGAACGUGCCCAGUCGUGGGGAUAACGUAGCGAAAGCUACGCUAAUACCGCAUACGAUCUACGGAUGAAAGCGGGGGAUCGCAAGACCUCGCGCGAUUGGAGCGGCCGAUAUCAGAUUAGGUAGUUGGUGAGGUAAAGGCUCACCAAGCCGACGAUCUGUAGCUGGUCUGAGAGGACGACCGGCCACACUGGGACUGAGACACGGCCCAGACUCCUACGGGAGGCAGCAGUGGGGAAUUUUGGACAAUGGGCGGCAAGCCUGAUCCAGCAAUGCCGCGUGCAGGAUGAAGGCC
rnacentral:rRNA from 1 species